rnacentral:rRNA from 1 species
CCUACGGGAGGCAGCAGUAGGGAAUAUUGCUCAAUGGGGGAAACCCUGAAGCAGCAACGCCGCGUGGAGGAUGAAGGUUUUCGGAUUGUAAACUCCUUUUGUUAGAGAAGAUAAUGACGGUAUGUAACGAAUAAGCACCGGCUAACUCCGUGCCAGCAGCCGCGGUACUACGGCGGGUGCAAGCGUUACUCGGAAUCACUGGGCGUAAAGAGCGCGUAGGCGGGAUAGCAAGUCAGAUGUGAAAUCCUAUGGCUUAACCAUAGAACUGCAUUUGAAACUGUUAUUCUAGAGUAUGGGAGAGGUAGGUGGAAUUCUUGGUGUAGGGGUAAAAUCCGUAGAGAUCAAGAGGAAUACUCAUUGCGAAGGCGACCUGCUAGAACAUAUCUGACGCUGAUGCGCGAAAGCGUGGGGAGCAAACAGGAUUAGAUACCCCAGUAGUC